AAGAUUAGCCAAAUCCUCACAAAUCUUGCAAGAUAAUUCUCUCUCUCCCUCCACCCAUUUUCGAGCUCUCUCUCUUUCCCCUUCAUCUCUCAUCUUCCUCCAUUAACAUCCAUGGUAGAACCUUCGAAGCUUCACCAAAAUAUGCCAAACACAUAAAUCACCAACAAAAUCCCACAUAAACACAUCCUAGCUACUUGAAUUCAAGAGAAUCAUUGGAGAUUGCUUCCAAGGCUAGAGAGAGAAAGUGUGAUUGUUGGUGUAAAGUUUGGACACGAGCAGACCAAGGAAGUAAGUAACUCCGCUUUGACGGGAGAUUUUGAGUAAGGUCUUCAGGUGGGCAAUAUUUUGAGUAUACGUAUUUCGUACGAGCUUUCUAAAAUGAUUUGAUGAUGUUAUGAGAUUAACAAAUGUUUUGAGAUAAAUGAUAUUUGAGAAUUGUUUGACUUGCCAAUUUUUGAUGUUGAGCUUGUGUGUUACCCUCUACUGAUGAGACGAAUUCGGUCCUGCCUCAAGCGGGAUUUUGUGCACAGAGGUGACUGUGAGCCGUCUUCGGGUCGGCCGGUCACGGUACUUGAGAGGGAGGCCUACUUCUCAGUACCUUUGAUGAUGAGUAGUGGAUGUGGUACAUACAUGAUGAAUGUUUAAACUGCGCAGUUACUUAUUUAUGAUGUUGAUUAUGAAAACUGCAUGCACAGAUUCCUUGAUGCUAACUUAUUUCUGUGUAUUGCUGAGAUGUGGCAAGCUUCAAACUUAUAGCUCUAAGAGCACCUUUCAUGUUUUUCGGCGUUUACCCACUGAGUAUUAUGUACUCACGCCCUGCAUGUAUUUCUAAAUGUGCAGGCUAAGCGGGGAGCGAGAUUGGUCUGGUGCUGGUGGGGAACCGUUUCAAUCGAUGUGAUCAUAUUUAAUAUUGCCCUUAUGAUUGAUAGAGUCUUGAUGAUUAAAAUACUUCGUUUCCUUUCGAAUCAAGUAAUAUACUCACGGUUAUGUGUCUUCAUACAUAUAAUCGGUUCGCCUUUUGCUGCGAUACUCUGCAUAUUAUGUUUCCUUAUGAAAAAUAAGCUAUACCUGUUUUGUUUUUGUUUGUGAAAUUCCUGAUAAUUAAAAAGUUAUAACAACGUUGACGAUUUUA